UACUCUUCUCCAAGUCAGUUUAGGAAAACUAGAAGGCAAGCAAUAGAACUUGAAAUUUUGAUUCCUCUAUAUCCUAAAGGGAUACAGAGGCAAAAUUAAGUUUAUACACUUUUUCCUAAUUCCUUUAAAAAAAAAUUAAUUUCAUUUCUAUUUCUUUAAUCAAAUUCAAGUUUUUACUUAUUAAAUUUUUCUUAAAGAUAA
rnacentral:misc_RNA from 1 species